rnacentral:rRNA from 1 species
AUUGAACGCUGGCGGCAUGCCUAACACAUGCAAGUCGAACGGGGGUAGCAAUACCCUAGUGGCGGACGGGUGAGGAAUACGUAGGAAUUUGCCCUUAAGUGGGGGAUAACCCGGGGAAACCCGGACUAAUACCGCAUGAUCUCGGGAGAGCAAAGCAGGGCACCGCAAGGCCUUGCGCUUUUGGAGAAGCCUACGUCGGAUUAGCUGGUUGGUGGGGUAAUGGACCACCAAGGCUACGAUCCGUAACUGGUCUGAGAGGAUGAUCAGUAACACCGGAACUGAGACACGGUCCGGACUCCUACGGGAGGCAGCAGUGGGGAAUAUUGGACAAUGGGCGAAAGACUGAUCCAGCAAUGCCGCGUGUGUGAAGAAGGCCUUCGGGUUGUAAAGCACUUUAGGCUGGAAAGAAAAAGCUUUGGCUAAUAUCCAAAGCCUUGACGGUACCAGCAGAAUAAGCACCGGCUAACUCUGUGCCAGCCGCCGCUGUAAAAC